AUUGAACGCUGGCGGCAUGCCUUACACAUGCAAGUCGAACGGUAACAGGUCUUCGGAUGCUGACGAGUGGCGAACGGGUGAGUAAUACAUCGGAACGUGCCCGAGAGUGGGGGAUAACGAAGCGAAAGCUUUGCUAAUACCGCAUACGAUCUCAGGAUGAAAGCAGGGGACCGCAAGGCCUUGCGCUCACGGAGCGGCCGAUGGCAGAUUAGGUAGUUGGUGGGAUAAAAGCUUACCAAGCCGACGAUCUGUAGCUGGUCUGAGAGGACGACCAGCCACACUGGGACUGAGACACGGCCCAGACUCCUACGGGAGGCAGCAGUGGGGAAUUUUGGACAAUGGACGCAAGUCUGAUCCAGCAAUACCGCGUGCAGGACGAAGGCCUUCGGGUUGUAAACUGCUUUGUACGGAACGAAAGACCUUCUUCUAAUACAGGGGGUCAGUGACGGUACCGUAAGAAUAAGCACCGGCUAACUACGUGCCAGCAGCCGCGGU
rnacentral:rRNA from 1 species